GUGGCGGCGGUGGCGGUGGCCGUGGUGGUGGUGGUGGUGGUGGUGAUGAUGGUGGUGGCGGUGGUGGUGAUGAUGGUGGUGGUGGCGGUGGCGAUCGUCGAGUUGUUGGUGGUGGCGAUCGCAGGGCUGGCGGCCGCGGAGAAGGUGGCGGUGGCGACCGUAAAGGUGGUGGUGGCGGUGGCGAAGGUGGCGGUGGCGAAGGUGGCGGUGGCGACCGUAAAGGUGGUGGUGGCGGUGGCGAGGAAGUCGUUGCUGGCGGCGUCAAUGGAUUCAGCAGCGGCACAACGCCCGACCGGGGAGGGCAUAUCGGGCAGUACGUAGAGGAGACAUCCCCAAUGUAAAACCUGCGGUGUGUACGGCAAGCAGAUUUCCUUCAAUAACCAUGAAGAUCAGCAGCCUCGUGUACAAGCUUAUGGCUUAAAGAAACUUGCAUGAACUUGCAUGAACUUGCAUGAACUUGCAUGAAGAACCACGUGCUGCUGGUGACGAAAUAUAGUACAUGCACGGCGCAUCCCAUCAUCGUCAUCAUCGCCAUCAGCUGUCAUCAGCUGUCAUCAGCUGUGUUAUUCCCCUGCUUCUUUCCGCCCGCCGGCUGGCUAAUAAUGGUGUGGUGUGGCAAGGGGCUUUUGUACGGCCGCAACCGAAUGGCAAACCGUG
rnacentral:lncRNA from 1 species